rnacentral:rRNA from 1 species
UACGGGGGGGGUAAGCGUUGUUCGGAAUUACUGGGCGUAAAGGGCUCGUAGGCGGCCAACUAAGUCAGACGUGAAAUCCCUCGGCUUAACCGGGGAACUGCGUCUGAUACUGGAUGGCUUGAGUUUGGGAGAGGGACGCGGAAUUCCAGGUGUAGCGGUGAAAUGCGUAGAUAUCUGGAGGAACACCGGUGGCGAAGGCGGCGUCCUGGACCAACACUGACGCUGAGGAGCGAAAGCCAGGGGAGCAAACGGG